AAUUCCCUAAAGUUCAGCUACCAGUGACUGGCUUAAAGCAGUACAGAAUUCUGGACUGGGGACGUUGGGUGCUGCCAGUCCUUUAAACACAUUUCUCUUUUUUUCAUCCAUCCUCUUUCUUCUUUCCCCAACAAAAAAGAAAAGAAAGUUUGGCCACAGGAGUCAGAUGAGUAGUGUAGGGUGGAUGGCGCCUGCAGCCUUUUACAAAGAGCUUCAUGUGACGGUGGGAGGCACCGUCCCAGUUUACACAGUGGGACGUGGGACGUCGGCCGAGCAUUCAGUUGGGCAUCUUUAGACGUGUGCC
rnacentral:lncRNA from 1 species